rnacentral:rRNA from 1 species
AGUUUGAUCCUGGCUCAGAUUGAACGCUGGCGGCAGGCCUAACACAUGCAAGUCGAGCGGCAGCACAAGGGAGUUUACUUCUGAGGUGGCGAGCGGCGGACGGGUGAGUAAUGCCUAGGGAUCUGCCCAGUCGAGGGGGAUAACAGUUGGAAACGACUGCUAAUACCGCAUACGCCCUACGGGGGAAAGAGGGGGACCUUCGGGCCUCUCGCGAUUGGAUGAACCUAGGUGGGAUUAGCUAGUUGGUGAGGUAAUGGCUCACCAAGGCGACGAUCCCUAGCUGUUCUGAGAGGAUGAUCAGCCACACUGGGACUGAGACACGGCCCAGACUCCUACGGGAGGCAGCAGUGGGGAAUAUUGCACAGUGGGGGAAACCCUGAUGCAGCCAUGCCGCGUGUGUGAAGAAGGCCUUCGGGUUGUAAAGCACUUUCAGUAGGGAGGAAAGGGUGAGUCUUAAUACGGCUCAUCUGUGACGUUACCUACAGAAGAAGGACCGGCUAACUCCGUGCCAGCAGCCGCGGUAAUACGGAGGGUCCGAGCGUUAAUCGGAAUUACUGGGCGUAAAGCGUGCGCAGGCGGUUUGUUAAGCGAGAUGUGAAAGCCCUGGGCUCAACCUAGGAAUAGCAUUUCGAACUGGCGAACUAGAGUCUUGUAGAGGGGGGUAGAAUUCCAGGUGUAGCGGUGAAAUGCGUAGAGAUCUGGAGGAAUACCGGUGGCGAAGGCGGCCCCCUGGACAAAGACUGACGCUCAUGCACGAAAGCGUGGGGAGCAAACAGGAUUAGAUAC